GAUGAACGCUAGCGGCAGGCCUAAUACAUGCAAGUCGAACGGUAACAUGGCAGCAAUGCUGAUGACGAGUGGCGCACGGGUGCGUAACGCGUAUGCAACCUACCCUUUACUGGGGAAUAGCCCGGAGAAAUUCGGAUUAACACCGCAUAAUAUGUUGAGGAGGCAUCUUCUUAACAUUAAAUCUACGGAGGUAAAGGAUGGGCAUGCGUCUGAUUAGAGUUGGUGAGGUAACGGCUCACCAAGACGAUGAUCAGUCGGGGUUCUGAGAGGAAGGUCCCCACCA
rnacentral:rRNA from 1 species